UUUAGGAGAGUAAUGCAAAAAGAAAUUCUAUUGACGAUGCUCCACAACAUGACAUUGCCAUUGUCGGUGGUGGAAUGGCUGGUAAGAAAUGGUUGCUGCUAGUCUUGAACUUCAUUUGAUCAGUCCAGUCACACCUGAAACAAUAUCCUUCCUCAAAGGUACUGGUGCCUAAAAAAUACAUUGAAGCACAGGGACAUGCCUAUUUUGAUAAAAUGCAGACAGAGUGAGGAUCUCUUCCGGGAAAGAGGAGCUCUCAAGGUUACUUGGUCAUGGGGAUCUUCAAAGCUCGGUCAUACUUGUGUUUGCAAACGAUCAGGACCUGAAAGUCGUGAUGACUCUGGCUGAAAUCAUGGAUGCACUUAACCGUCACAGCAUCAAGAACCAUCAUGAUUGGCAUAUACAAGCAAGUUGUAC